rnacentral:rRNA from 1 species
AGAGAACUGUUGUUAAGGAACUCGGCAAAAUGACCCCGUAACUUAGGGAUAAGGGGUGCCACCAUCAGGUGGCCGCAGAGAAUAGGCCCAAGCGACUGUUUACCAAAAACAUAGGUUUCUGCUAAGUCGCAAGACGAUGUAUAGGAGCUGACGCCUGCCCGGUGCUGGAAGGUUAAGGGAAUCUGUUAGAGCAAUCGAAGCAGUGAACUUAAGCCCCAGUAAACGGCGGCCGUAACUAUAACGGUCCUAAGGUAGCGAAAUUCCUUGUCGGGUAAGUUCCG